UUUUGUGGCCCGCCCCCGCGGUAAUACGUAGGGGGCGAGCGUUGUCCGGAAUUACUGGGCGUAAAGAGCACGUAGGCGGCUAUAAAAGUCAGAUGUAAAAAACCUGGGCUCAACCGAGGGUAUGCAUUUGAAACUAAAUAGCUUGAGUCAAGGAGAGGAGAGCGGAAUUCCUGGUGUAGCGGUGAAAUGCGUAGAGAUCAGGAAGACUACCAGUGGGGAAAGCGGCUUUCUGGACUUGAACUGACGCUGAGGUGCGAAAGCGUGGGGAGCAACCAGGAUUAGAUCCCCUGGUAUUCCCCGCCGUAAACGAGGGAUACUAGGUGUGGGUGAGGAAUCAUCCGUGCCGCAGUUAACGCAAUAAGUAUUCCGCCUGUGAGACGCCCCUC
rnacentral:rRNA from 1 species